rnacentral:rRNA from 1 species
AUGCCGCGCCCCUGCACCAUGCCGCCGGCGAUGGCCCUGCUACUAUGCUUGGCGGUGCUAUCCAGCGGCGGCGGGUGCGAGGGGCGCAGGGACGACGAGAGGGCGACGCUUCUGGACAUCCGCGGCCAGUUCAACUACAACUCGUCGCUGGACUGGAAUAGCACCGCCACAGAUUGCUGCCGGUGGGAGGGGGUGAGCUGCAGCUCCCGGACAGCUCGUGUCACGGGCCUCGACCUGAGCAUGCUGCACGGUAUUGCCUCCAGCACAGGCCUACUCAACACCACCAUGUUCCUCCCCUUGCAAGAGCUGCAGGAUCUGUCCCUGAGCGGCCUCAAGAUACAAGGAUGCACACCCGGUGCAGGCUUUGAAGUAUGGUCAAAAUUACACAGACUAAAAGUUCUUGAUUUAUCAUAUAAUGGCAAAUUAAUGGAGAGUGACGUCCCAUCCUUGGUUGCAAUUUCAUCACUACGGUCCCUAUUCCUCAACGGGAAUGACUUCAAACUGAGCAUAAUGAAGGUGGAUACUCUUGACAUAGGCAAUAAUGAUAUCAAAGGCACCAUACCUACAGAUAUCUGCAACAUGAGAGAUCUUCAAGUGUUAUAUCUCAGUGACAAUCUUUUAUUUGGAGAGAUUCCAUCAUGCAUGCAAAAUCUGACUUCUCUCAGAAUUCUCGGUCUGUCGGAAAAUAAUAGAUUAAUAGUAAAGUUCCCCUCUCUUAUCUUUGCAAAACUCACAUCGUUGGAGAAGCUUUCACUCGUAAAUAACUCUCUUGAAGGAGUUCUGUCGCUGAGUUCCUUACAAAAUCAUAGACAAUUGACUAAACUGGAACUUGCAAGCAGCGGUAACAACUUUCAUGUGCAAACUGAGAAUCCAGCAACAAAUUUGCCAGCUCAGAUUCAGGUUCUAGUGCUGCGAAAUUGCAACCUUAAUGGCAAUUCAGGCAUCAUACCAAGUUUUUUGUUGCAUCAACAUAAACUAGAGUUCGUCGAUAUGUCUAACAACAACCUAAGUGGUAACUUCCCUUCAUGGUUGAUAGAAAAUAAUGUCAACCUAUCACACUUAGUUCUGGGUAGUAACUCCUUUGCAGGUCCUCUUCUUCCGUCCAAAGUACACACCGGUUUGCAAUGGUUGGAUGCAUCUUCUAACAGGCUAAGCAUAUUACCUGUUGACAUUAACACCACAUUACCAAAUCUGAGUUACAUAUCCUUAUCAGGGAAUUCUUAUAAGGGCAACUUUCCUUCUUCCUUUAGCUAUAUGAAUAGUCUACAGUAUUUAGAAUUGUCAUACAACAAUUUCUUAGAUGACAUUGCGGCUGCUUUUGUUGGAAAUAUGUUAAACAUCAUUGGUCUAAAAUUGUCUGGAAACCAUUUCUGUGGGUCGUUCUCUCCAAACAUACUAUUACCUGCCGUUAAACAUCUAUUGCUCAGCGAUAAUGAAAUCGCCGGGAAAAUUCCUGAGAAGUUAUGUGACAGUCUGAUACUUAUGACAUUUGAUGCUAGCAAUAACAAGUUGACCGGCCUGCUCCCUACUUGCAUAUCCGCACUCUCAGAACUUGCCAUUUUGAAUUUAAGAGGGAACUCAUUGGCUGGAUCGAUUCCGUCGGAAGGAAAUAAUAUCUAUACAAUGGAUCUCCAAGAAAAUCAAUUCAGUGGUGUCCUUCCAAAGCUGAUAGGGAAGUCCUUUCCAAAGCUAAAAGUACUGCUAUUAAAAGGCAAUAUGUUUGAAGGGACAGUUCCAAAUGAUAUAUGCAGUUUGAAGUAUCUGCGUCUACUAGAUUUGUCUCAUAAUAGACUAUCGGGGCAGUUACCUUUAUGCAUGAACAUUAUGGGAUCCGAUGACAGUUUAUUUGAUUUCCAACCUGGUUUUGGAACUUUUCCUGUUUUAUUCAAUGUUAUUGGGCUGCCAGAUCAAGAGGAAUUCAUGACCAAGGGCAGGCAGGACAAUUACAGGGGAAACAUACUGAACUACAUGACUGGACUAGAUUUCUCUUCGAACCAGUUGAAAGGAUCCAUUCAUGAAAGUAUAGGUGGCAUGAAGUGGUUAAGGGCAUUGAAUUUCUCGGAAAACAAGUUUGAUGGAUCAAUACCACAGUCCUUAUCUAAUUUAAGUGAUUUGGAGAGCUUGGAUCUCUCACACAACAACUUGGCAGGCCAAAUACCUUCAGAGCUAGUAGCAUUACAGUCCCUUGCGGUGUUCUCAGUGGCAUACAACAACCUGUCCGGUCCUACACCGGGAACAAGGGGGCAGUUUCUCACAUUUGAUCAGAGCAGCUACGAAGGUAAUCCAUAUCUCUGUGGCCCACCAUUGAAAAAGAGUUGCUCCGUGACACCGUCGAUUCCUGAGCUCGAAGAAAAUGUAGAAGAAGAUGAUAAAGUUGGUUAUAUCAUACUGUUUGGUUGUUCGGCGAUGUUCUACAUGGUUGGUUUCUGGACAUCCUUGGGUGUACUUUACUUUAAGACAAGCUGGCGAUGGUCAUGGUUUUCUGUUGUGGAUAGGUUCGGUGAUUAUGUACUAGUUAAGUUUUUUGUAUUCACAAAAAAAAUUCGGAGCACCAAUUGA